CUUCAUCCGGUGACGCUUGGUCGUAGUAUGUUGGAGUAGACGCACUCGCGUUUGAAACGUGCAUCUAGAUACGUACUUUUAAUCCUCUGGCUUGUUUACACUCGAGAGAAAAAGUUGCACCCCACGCCAUAGCCAGUGAGGAGUUGCCCAAAUAGGAGGAGAAGAGCAUGGGAAUGUUUGCUGCUGUGACUUCUGUUUUUGGCUACCAAUGGUGACAAGAUGAAGGCCAAGGCAACGCAAGAGACAGACAGACAACUAUGCCAUAGACCCGCCGUGAAGUCCAAGACCAAGGCCCGCUGACCCCCCAGCGAGGGACCAUUUGUCAAGAAGGAAGACAUCCGGUGCUCCUGGGAAGUACGAGAAACAAUCUUUCAAUUGUCUUACCUGAUUCAAAAUAGUACUGAUUAUGAAUUCACUGGAAGUAAAUAUGUGGAAUUCAUUUCACAGGCUAAGCUUACCGAAACAUAAGAUGGAUAUAGGGAUGCAGGGAUUAGAGAGAGAGAGAGACAGAUGGAGAAAAAGACAUUGUGGAGGGGGGUGGGGAGGUGGAUCUGUGCAUAUUCUGUAUUUGCUCUACUACACAAGGAGGCAUGUUCUCCAUUAUUAGCUUGCACAGUAUUUUUUUUUUUUAGGAAAACACGCUGUAUGUCCCCUUGUCUGCUUCUAUUUGAACAAAGCAUUUUAUACAUACUUCCUACCAUUUGGAUCACAAAAGCUGUGAUCCUGCUUAGGAAUAAGUUCCCCUGGAAUCAGUGUAAAUAUGUUAAUGUUUGUGGUGUAAUAUGUAAGAGAGGAACUUGCCUUUAAAUUAACUAUAUACCUUAUUGGCCUAGUGUUGUGAUGAUGCAUGUGUAACUUACCUGAAACUAAUCAGCACACAAAAGAUAACAUUUUAAUUUCCUUGGGAGGAGGAGAGGGGUAAUCUCAGAUUCAGUGCUAUGUAUUACAGCAUCCUUCUAAACUGAACAAUGGCUAUUAAAUAAAAUUGUUCAAACCCAAA